GCUGGGUGUGGUAGUGCACACCUGUAGUCCCAGCUACUUGAGAGGCUGAGGCAGGAGGAUCGCUUGAGCCCAGGAGGUGGAGGCUGCAGUGAGUGGUGAUCUUGCCACUGCACUCCAUCCUGGGUGACAGAGUGAGACCCUGUCUCAA
rfam:Pan troglodytes isolate Yerkes chimp pedigree #C0471 (Clint) chromosome X, whole genome shotgun sequence.